GCACAAGCAGCGGAGCGUGUGGUUUAAUUCGUUGCUACACGAAGAACCUUACCUGGGUUUGACAUAAUGGUGGUAGGGAUCUGAAAAGGGACCGACCCUUCGGGGAGCCUAUACAGGUGUUGCAUGGCUGUCGUCAGCUCGUGUCGUGAGAUGUUCGGUUAAGUCCGCUAACGAGCGCAACCCUCGUCGUAUGUUAUAUGUGUCAUACGAGACUGCCGGUAAAAAGCCGGAGGAAGGUGAGGAUGAUGUCAAGUCAGCAUGACCUUUAUAUCCAGGGCUACACACACGCUACAAUGGUCUGUACAAUGGGUAGCCAAGCCGCGAGGCGGAGCCAAUCCUGAAAGCAGGCCUCAGUUCAGAUUGCAGUCUGCAACUCGACUGCAUGAAGCCGGAGUUGCUAGUAACCGCAGGUCAGCAAUACUGCGGUGAAUACGUUCCCGGGCCUU
rnacentral:rRNA from 1 species